rnacentral:lncRNA from 1 species
AUGGAGCAUUAUUUCUGGAUGUGUCUCUGAGGGUGUUUCCAGGGGAGACUGGUAUGUGAGUCAGUGGACUGAGUGGAAGAGAUCUGCCAUCAAUAUCUUUGGGCACCUUCCAAUCAGCUGUGAGCCCAACAGAGCAAAAGGCAGAGGAAAGGUGAAUUCUCUCUCUCUCUCUGUCUCUCUGGAACACUCUUCUCUUGCUCUUCAAUAUCACAACUCCAGGCUCUCCGGCCUUUGGUCUUUGGGACU